CAGUCGCCACGGUAAUACAGAGGGUGCAAGCGUUAAUCGGAAUUACUGGGCGUAAAGCGCGCGUAGGUGGUUUGUUAAGUUGGAUGUGAAAUCCCCGGGCUCAACCUGGGAACUGCAUCCAAAACUGGCAAGCUAGAGUAUGGUAGAGGGUGGUGGAAUUUCCUGUGUAGCGGUGAAAUGCGUAGAUAUAGGAAGGAACACCAGUGGCGAAGGCGACCACCUGGACUGAUACUGACACUGAGGUGCGAAAGCGUGGGGAGCAAACAGGAUUAGAUACCCGUGUAGUCCCUGUCUCUUAUAC
rnacentral:rRNA from 1 species